GUCCUCUCUCUCAUCGUUUCCCUUCCUCUGCCUUCUCUUCUCUCCCGUGCCGCCGUAAUCCAUGGGAGCAGGUGGGAGCUAGGGUUGGAAAAAUGUGCCCGGUGUCAUAUCUCUCUCUCUCUCUCUCUCUCCUCCCUCUCAUGUACCUGGGUAAGGAUCUACGGCAUAGAAGCUUAAUCUCGCCCUGUGUUCCUCUGAAUCGACUGUGCGCGUUGAUUUAUUUGGCAGCGAUGGCUCGUCUAUGUCCGAUGUCGUCGUCCGGGGCGUCGAUUCUAUAGAGGUACAGGAGUUGACGGUCUUCCGCGAUUCAACUAUGAAGGAAUGGGGCGAUUGCUUCAUCAUUAGAUAAAAGAAAUAGCAGACCCUGCCAACAGGAAAAUAAGACCGAAUCUUCCAGAGCUAUGCUCUGGUAAUAUGGACUAUGCUCCUUAUGAAAUUCUCUGAAAUUCAGGCUUGAAUACUAUGUUAUGAUGCAGAAUCAUCUAAUCAUCUCAACACUUGGCUUCAUCCUUCUGGGGGAUGUGCAAACGAGUUUGAGGCCCUGUGUCAUCCAGAAGGAACCAUGUUGUGAUUUCCCAUCUGCGCUAAUGCUCGAUCUUUCAAGCGUGACUGUUGGACGACAUUUAUUUUAGCUGAUGAUUCUGCUUGUACUUUGGCCAACCUGUGGUUAUCACUAUUUAUUUUCCAACUGUUUCUGAACUAAGUCUGAUGCUUGCGCCUGUGCUCGCAUGCGAGAAAUUACACUGUUUGAGCAAUUGUGGUUUUAUUCUACAUAUAUGUACACACUGUUUCCAAAUGUGUAUACGACAGUGGCCAUGUCAAAUUUUCUGGAGCUUUUA